rnacentral:rRNA from 1 species
AAUAGAUACCCCGGUAGUCCACGCCGUAAACGAUGAGUGCUAAGUGUUAGGGGGGUUUCCGCCCCUUAGUGCUGCAGCUAACGCAUUAAGCACUCCGCCUGGGGAGUACGGUCGCAAGACUGAAACUCAAAGGAAUUGACGGGGGCCCGCACAAGCGGUGGAGCAUGUGGUUUAAUUCGAAGCAACGCGAAGAACCUUACCAGGUCUUGACAUCCCAUUGACCGCUAUGGAGACAUAGUUUUCCCUUCGGGGACAGUGGUGACAGGUGGUGCAUGGUUGUCGUCAGCUCGUGUCGUGAGAUGUUGGGUUAAGUCCCGCAACGAGCGCAACCCUUGUUCUUAGUUGCCAUCAUUUAGUUGGGCACUCUAAGGAGACUGCCGGUGACAAACCGGAGGAAGGUGGGGAUGACGUCAAAUCAUCAUGCCCCUUAUGACCUGGGCUACACACGUGCUACAAUGGACGGUACAAACGGUUGCCAACCCGCGAGGGGGAGCUAAUCCGAUAAAACCGUUCUCAGUUCGGAUUGUAGGCUGCAACUCGCCUACA